rnacentral:tRNA from 1 species
GGUUGUAGCUCAGUUGGCAGAGCGUCAGAUUGUGGCUCUGAAUGUCGUGGGUUCAAAUCCCAUCAA